GGAGGGAGCUAACAAGAAAGAACUUUGGAAAUCUACCCUCCUCUUUCCCUGUCACUGCCAGGAAUGUCACCAUGAGAGCAGUUUCAGUUAAUGAGCAAACUCCUCAGACAAGGCAGGAAGGCAGCUCUUGGGCCUCACUGUCAAGCACAGGAAGCGACUGGAUUCCACUUGCCCGGUGUAGGGAUGACAGCAGGUCAGCUCCUCUCCAAUUACCCAGAAUGGGUGAGAGUUGAAGAUCUAGAAACAGAUUGCUGAGGCAGGAGAACAAAUGGUGACCCCUGCGCCUGCCCACGUUCCUGGAGGAAAACAGGAGCCAGUAGAGAGUGAGCUGACUCGGUGUGACUCCCUUAACAUUGACACAAAAGAGAAAGUAUCAUAGGUCAUGGGUACCAGCAUCCCCAGUUCUCAUCAGGAAGCAGUACCCCAGGGCACAUGUCCCACAGACUGCUGAAAGAGAUCUUGCUCAGGGUUUCCCAGGAUGAGGGGGUGCAGGAGCCCCCCAGAAGUGCCCAUCCUCUAACCAACUGGGGGCCAGCUAAGCAGACAUCUUGGUCAAGCCUCAGCCCGUAGACUUGUGCUCUUGUGGCAUAAGAUGAGCCUCUGGGAACCAACUCGAGACCUACUGUUUGGGAGUUCGCCGGAGCAACGAGCCCCUUCUGAGGCCUCUAAGCUGCUGAGCUCUGCAGGAUUGAGGUCAUGAUCCCUGCCAUGUUCCAGAGGCUUCACAAGAAGAUGAAGGGACCCAGGAGGAGAUUGUGGGUCCAUGGGAACUGUCAGGCUCUGGGCAUUUCAGAGGACAGCUCACGCCUGGCCAGUGGGGUUCUGCUGGCAGAGGCCGCAGUGAGGACUCUGCUUAGAACUUAAGACACAUGUCUUGGUUGGAUGCUCUCCCCUAAGGCCCAACUUGGUGGCCAGACUCCAGGGAAGAGCAGAAGGGGUUUUUGAAGCCCAGGAAGGAGGCCAAGCCAGCAAGCAGCCCCCCCUGGGUGCUUGCUGGCAGCUCCAGAGCAAAGGGCAGGUUGGCUCCGGCCAGAGGAAGCAGGGCAGGGGCCAGUGUGAAGAUGGAGGUUGGGCUCAAUGGCUAAUCAAGCGGGAGGCCUGAGUCCAUCAGAGAGGCAGAAAAACGGGAUCAACAAAGAUGAGAGGAAUGUGUCAGAAGAGGGAUAUGGCUCCAAGUGGUCUUGGCAAAAGGCCAGGUGCGGGGGGGAGGACGGUUCAUGGAGAGGAUAGGGCAGACACAGUAGGGAUUCAGAGAAGUCUCCAAAAAUCCCAAGCUGGGCCAGAGUCUCAGGAGUCUGGCAGCAGCCAGGCUGGGCCUAUGGAGUGAUACAUUCCUCAUUCCUAAGAGGGCCAAGGGCUGCCUUUGACCUUCCCUGUUUAUUACCCUUGACCUCUGCCUACAUGGAAACCACCACCUUCCCCAUCCUCAAGUCUCACAGGAAAGUUGUUGCUACAUUGCCCCAGAGAACCUCCUAGCCCAUGCUGGAAGAGAAGGCCAUUCCAUCUGGGAAUCACAUGGCACUGGGUGGAGAGAGAACCGACUGGGCCUGACGCCUUGCAGAACCAGCAUCCAGCCUGUGUCCAAAGUGCUCCUGGAACCACAGAAUGUUUCAUGCCUCCAACCCUGCCCCCUCUGUCUGUCUGUCUGUUUGUCCAUCUGUCCAUCUGUCUCUCUCUCUCUCUCUCUCUCUCUCUCUCUCUCUCUCUCUGUGUGUGUGUGUGUGUGUGUGUUACAUACAUGUAUAACAUUCAACACUCACACUCAUGCUCUGGCCCAUGACUUUAUCCAUGUGCUCAGCAUCCUCCCAUCCAGAAAUCUCCAAGGCUCCCAACUGCACAGGCGACCAGCCUGAGUUCUCUGCCGGUCACUCCCAGGCUCCACCCAGCCCUUCCCCAGCCCCUUCACACAGCCCAGCUCAGCCAGGCAGGUCUCCCCUAGGGCACUAUUUUCGAGCACACUUUCUCUGCAGAUGUUCAGUCAUUUGCACCUGGGGCUGCUCUGCAUUUGUGCAUCAGCCUCAGUAGGGGUGUCUGAAUUGGGUGAGAGGGUGUGUCGGAGAAGAAUCCUGACUUGCAUUGGUUUGAGCAGAUAACGAAUAAAAAGUGUUCUCGCCGUGGAAAAAUCCAGACGGGUGUUGGCCCAGGCACAGCUCUAGGUCAAAAUUUUAAGAACCCCCACUCAUCUCUCUUGGCUGCCUUCACCUUCCUUAACCUCUGGACUAGCACCCAUCAAGAACCCCUCUAGGAGCCGGGUGGUGGUGGCACAUGCCUUUGAUCCCAGCACUUGGGAGGCAGAGGCAGGUGGAUUUCUGAGUUCGAGGCCAGCCUGGUCUACAGAGUGAGUUCUAGGACAGCCAGGGCUACACACAGAGAAACCCUGU
rnacentral:lncRNA from 1 species